rnacentral:misc_RNA from 1 species
GGGACGAUUGAUGGAUGGAAUCAAAGGUUCAACUUAUAUUGAGUUCUUGGAAAGAGGCUUGUGCAACAACAGGAUCUAGCAAAGUUUUGAUUCCAGUAGGGACAUACGUAUUAGGUGUAGUGAGUGUCACAGGUCCUUGUUUGGGAGAAUUAGAGAUUGAAGUUCAAGGAACCUUGCAGGCCCUACCAGACUUGUAAAGGAAAGGUUGGUUUAAUUUUGAACAUGUUGAUCAAUUCCCAAAAAAAGAAAA